GCGCUCCCCGCGCAGGUUUGGACUUAAAAAAAAACCGUUUCAUAGUGACCAACACCACUCUCUAAUGUGACAUAAAGCAGCUCCUGCCACGCUGCCCAGUCCCUUUUGCCUGGAGUGGGGUGGUGGGCAUAGGCGGCCUCGCCUGUCAAUGCCACCCUGAGCAGGAUCCGAGGAACGGGGGCAGCCAUGCCACCCCCUGCCCCCGCUGCCCCACGCUAACCUGCAAAGUGUGGGUGCCCUUGGGGACUGACUGUCUGACCUUGCUUCACACCCACGACACCAACUCCCCCAAGAUGUCGCUCGAGUGGCUGGUGGCCUGGAGCUGGUCGCUGGAUGGCCUCCGGGACUGCAUCGCCACGGGCAUCCAGUCCGUGCGGGACUGCGACACCACCGCCGUGGCCACCGUGGCCUGCCUGCUGGUCCUGUUCGUGUGGUACUGCUACCACGUGGGCCGGGAGCAGCCCCGGCCCUACGCCUCCGUCAACUCCCUCAUGCAGGGCGCCGACGCCAACGGGCUGCAGAACGGGUACGUGUACUGCCAGUCCCCCGAGUGCGUGCGCUGCACACACAACGAGGGCCUCAACCAGAAACUCUACCACAACCUGCAGGAGUACGCCAAGCGCUACUCCUGGUCGGGCAUGGGCCGCAUCCACAAGGGCAUCCGCGAGCAGGGCCGCUACCUCAACAGCCGGCCCUCCAUCCAGAAGCCCGAGGUCUUCUUCCUGCCCGACCUCCCCACCACGCCCUACUUUUCACGGGACGCCCAGAGGCACGACGUGGAGCUGCUGGAGCGGAGCUUCCCGACCAUCCUGGGCGAGUUCGAGGCCCUGUACAAGGGCUUCUCCAACUGCAGCCUCCCGCAGGGCUGGAAAAUGAACAGCACCCCCAGCGGGGAGUGGGUCACCUUCUACUUGGUCAACCAGGGGGUGUGCGUGCCCAGGAACUGCAGGAAGUGCCCACGGACGUACCGCUUGCUCGGCAGCCUUCGGACCUGUAUUGGGAACAAUGUUUUUGGGAACGCGUGCAUCUCCGUGCUGAGCCCCGGGACUGUGAUCACGGAGCACUACGGACCCACCAACAUCCGCAUCCGAUGCCACUUAGGUCUGAAAACUCCAAGUGGCUGUGAGCUGGUGGUGGGGGGCGAGCCGCAGUGUUGGGCAGAAGGCCGCUGCCUUCUCUUUGACGACUCUUUCCUACACACCGCAUUCCAUGAAGGUGCCGCGGAGGAUGGCCCACGGGUGGUUUUCAUGGUGGAUCUGUGGCAUCCGAAUGUCGCCGCGGCUGAACGGCAGGCCCUGGAUUUCAUCUUUGCUCCAGGCCGAUGAGAACACUUCCCGUGCCAGGUCGGCGAGAGUGGCCUGGGGACAGCCGUGGGCCGGUCCAGCGCACGUGUUACGAUUCCAUGCUCAGAAACCUGCCUCGACAGAAAGCUCUCAUUGGGGAUUUUUAUACCACGUUGGGUCCCUCUUUGCUCCCGUUGUUAGUGGGAAACUCCAGCUUGUACUUCCUUAGAGGUCUUUUUCCUUCUGUUCGUUUGCUUCUGCGGUUCGUUUCCGCCUAAUGGCGCGGGACUUCGCUCUGCGGCCUGAGGCUCCCAGAGGCUCGGUGCCCCUGUUGUCGGUGUCACGUUGCUACUUGUUUUUUUCAGUGAUCAGAUGGUUCUUUGUCUGAAUGUAACAACGUAAAACUUCUUGUGGUCACCAUACAAAACAGAAAACUCUGCCACCCAUAGCACUAGAGAACGUGGCCUUUGCUGCUGUCACGGCCACAAGGGGGACCCACCCGCCCCCCAGGCAGGGGAGGCUGCAGUCCCUGCACCCGGCCAGCUGCAUGGGCAGGGUGGACAUGAGCAGGGGCACGGCCUGGGGAAAUGUCACCAUCCGCUCACCCCACCGCCAACCCUGUCUGUCUGAUGGCGGAGAGCGUGCGGCUGCGGGACCGGAGCGACAUGGCUCCCCUUCAGAGCCGAGGCUGGUGUCCUCGGGCGGGGCUCCCACGGCUCAGCCGCAGAACGAGUACUUCACUUACCUCACUGCCUACAGAAGCCCCACUGCCACCCGGGCCUGCGCAGUCCCCGUGUUAGCCGUUGUGACGCUGAGCUCGGAGACCGCCUGGUUGGCCCCUUGGAGCUGUGGCGGCCGAGACUCCACUUGUCCAGCGACAUCUGGGCAGCCUUUCUCUGGCAGAACUGGAACUCCAGGUGUGACCCAAGUGUCUGUUUCGUCUGGAGUUUCGUGGCCUAUGAUUUUCCAUUUACCUGUCUGUACAUAAAUGUUCAAACGCUGGACUCAGUGCGAGAGUCAGCCCUGUGGCCCUGUUAUUGCGAAGGCGUGAGCUGAGUGAUGGCAGCCGAAGCGAACGUGUGAGCGGGGAUCCCCGGAGGACCGACAGACCCAGAGGACCCUGGUCCCGGCACUGGCCUGGCCCUUCCAUCUCCUGUGAAGGACACGGCCAGGUGGGGGCGCUAAGUCUAGAAACGUCCUCCUGUUAGCUGAGGUGUGGAGGGCAGCCUCCUCCAUCCAUACCAGAUGCCGGUUUGCAUCAUGGAUAAUGGCAGUGUCAGGUCAAGGAGGCCGUGGCGCGGUAUGAAUACAGGCCUGUCACAUGUGCAGGUCCCGUGUUUCCAUCCACAUGGAAGCCAGCAGCUUCUGUGAGAAGUAACCACGACCUGAAACGCACUAGGCAGACUAGCAAGUGUGCCAAGAAAACGUGUCCGCGGUUGAGUGAAAUGUCUGCGAGAGAUUUUCAGUGAUUAGAAUGCAGGAAAGGGCAGACCUUUCAAAACACCUGAAGUCUCCUCACUUGUAUUUGUUAAAGAAUCACUUGAGGUGCAUGAUUUCUAUACAUACCGACCGCUCCACGUUUACAAAGCCAACAGCCGCGCAGGCACCUGGCUGCCUGCACUUGUGUGACGUGAUGGGGAACAGGAGAUCAAUAAAGGGUCUUGCUGAAAACCA